GCCCUAGCUUAGUGGUAGAGAACAUUUGCUGCAUGCAAAAGGUCCCAGUUCAACCUCUGGGAUCUCCU